GUGGGGAAUUUUGGACAAUGGGCGCAAGCCUGAUCCAGCAAUGCCGCGUGCAGGAAGAAGGCCUUCGGGUUGUAAACUGCUUUUGUACGGAACGAAACGGUCCGGGUUAAUACCCUGGGCUAAUGACGGUACCGUAAGAAUAAGCACCGGCUAACUUCGUGCCAGCAGCCGCGGUAAUACGAAGGGUGCAAGCGUUAAUCGGAAUUACUGGGCGUAAAGCGCGCGUAGGUGGUUUUGUAAGUUGGAGGUGAAAUCCCCGGGCUCAACCUGGGAACUGCCUCCAAAACUGCAUGACUAGAGUACGGUAGAGGGUAGUGGAAUUUCCUGUGUAGCGGUGAAAUGCGUAGAUAUGCGGAGGAACACCGAUGGCGAAGGCAAUCCCCUGGACCUGUACUGACGCUCAUGCACGAAAGCGUGGGGAGCAAACAGGAUUAGAAACCCCUGUAGUCC
rnacentral:rRNA from 1 species